ACAAAUGUUUGCUACAAGGAGCCGACUAUCAGUCCGAAACCGCCGCGAAUGACUGCGCAUUUAAAUGAGAUAAGCGGAAUCGGCCAGAUCUAGAUGGCGAGCUAACCCUAAUGAACCUGAAUCAACUCAGCUGCUGAAGAUUCCUACCAGGACCCCUUCCAUCCCUCUGCUCAGCUCGGGCUGGUAGGAGGCUCCUGUAGCCGACACGAACUCUUGCACUCGCUCACGCACUUAUUCUGCGACCCAUUGCUCCAGCUACUUACACUAUUCCCACACAUGGACGUCUUUCUGAACUGGUACAUCUGGGUCGUAUGAACUGUUAACGUUCACUCUGCGUUGGACUGUGCGUGUGAGCUCUCCAUUGAUCUGUGCGCUCCCGAUCAAUGUUGAAUUGAAUAUUAGAUUUGAAUAUUGAACUGUUGUAAAUAACCUUUGAACUGGGUAAUUAUUUGAAUAUUGAAACCUUGUAACACAUUGUGGGUUUUACUCUUAGAAUGGCCAUUCUCUCUCUCUGAAUGUUAAAUGUAUGUUUUGUCUUUGUCUUUAAUUAUAUUCAAUACAUGGUACCAUCAAAAGUAACCCUUCCAGUCUCUGCCUCUCUCUCCUUGAGCUGUACCUUACUCUUCUGAACACUAGUCCAUUAUGAUUAUAUUGCGUAAUGUUAGUACCUAGGGUCCCUCCUUUACUCACCCUUUAGUGAUUAGUGACCAUUUUGUGCAACGUAUAUGCUACAUGUG